UGAGCCGAAGCCCGCUGGAUUGGGUGUUUAGUUGUUAAUUAAAAUUUUACGGGAUCGAAGCCCGUUAGCUCAG
rnacentral:tRNA from 1 species